ACCCGCUGAACUUAAGCAUAUCAAUAAGCGGAGGAAAAGAAACCAACAGGGAUUGCCCUAGUAACGGCGAGUGAAGCGGCAACAGCUCAAAUUUGAAAUCUGGCUCUUUCAGAGUCCGAGUUGUAAUUUGCAGAGGGCGCUUUGGCAUUGGCAGCGGUCCAAGUUCCUUGGAACAGGACGUCACAGAGGGUGAGAAUCCCGUACGUGGUCGCUAGCCUUUACCGUGUAAAGCCCCUUCGACGAGUCGAGUUGUUUGGGAAUGCAGCUCUAAAUGGGAGGUAAAUUUCUUCUAAAGCUAAAUACUGGCCAGAGACCGAUAGCGCACAAGUAGAGUGAUCGAAAGAUGAAAAGCACUUUGGAAAGAGAGUUAAAAAGCACGUGAAAUUGUUGAAAGGGAAGCGCUUGCAGCCAGACUUGCCUGUAGUUGCUCAUCCGGGUUUUUACCCGGUGCACUCUUCUAUAGGCAGGCCAGCAUCAGUUUGGGCGGUUGGAUAAAGGUCUCUGUCAUGUACCUCUCUUCGGGGAGAACUUAUAGGGGAGACGACAUGCAACCAGCCCGGACUGAGGUCCGCGCAUCUGCUAGGAUGCUGGCGUAAUGGCUGU
rnacentral:rRNA from 1 species